rfam:Thermosulfurimonas dismutans strain S95 contig00001, whole genome shotgun sequence.
UGCCGGGUCCUGCGCGACGGAUCCCGGUGAACCCCGCCAGGCCCGAAAGGGAGCAACGGUAGCCGGGCUCUCCGGGUGCCGCAGGGGUACCCGGCAGCC